AUUGAACGCUGGCGGCAGGCCUGACACAUGCAAGUCGAGCGGAUGAAGGGAGCUUGCUCCUGGAUUCAGCGGCGGACGGGUGAGUAAUGCCUAGGAAUCUGCCUGGUAGUGGGGGAUUACGUCCGGAAACGGGCGCUAAUACCGCAUACGUCCUGAGGGAGAAAGUGGGGGAUCUUCGGACCUCACGCUAUCAGAUGAGCCUAGGUCGGAUUAGCUAGUUGGUGGGGUAAAGGCCUACCAAGGCGACGAUCCGUAACUGGUCUGAGAGGAUGAUCAGUCACACUGGAACUGAGACACGGUCCAGACUCCUACGGGAGGCAGCAGUGGGGAAUAUUGGACAAUGGGCGAAAGCCUGAUCCAGCCAUGCCGCGUGUGUGAAGAAGGUCUUCGGAUUGUAAAGCACUUUAAGUUGGGAGGAAGGGCAGUAAGUUAAUACCUUGCUGUUUUGACGUUACCAACAGAAUAAGCACCGGCUAACUUCGUG
rnacentral:rRNA from 1 species